GAUGAAGAACGUAGCGAAAUGCGAUACGUAAUGUGAAUUGCAAAUUCAGUGAAUCAUCGAGUCUUUGAACGCACAUUGCGCCCCCUGGUAUUCCGGGGGGCAUGCCUGUCCGAGCGUCAUUUGCAACCCUCAAGCCCGGCUUGUGUGAUGGGUGCCGUCCCCUACGGGACGCGCCCCGAAGGCAAUGGCGGCGUCGCGGUUAUCCGAUCAGCCAAAGUGUAUGGGGCUUUGUCACUCACUUUACGGCCCGGACCGGCGCCAGUCCGAAUCAAUCUUUUUUCUAAAGUUGACCUCGGAUCAGGUAGGGAUACCCGCUGAACUUAAGCAUAUCAAUAAGCGGAGGA
rnacentral:misc_RNA from 1 species